rnacentral:rRNA from 1 species
CCUACGGGUGGCAGCAGUGAGGAAUAUUGGUCAAUGGCCGGAAGGCUGAACCAGCCAAGCCGCGUGAAGGACGAAGGUGCCAAGCAUUGUAAACUUCUUUUGUCAAGGGACAAAAUCAGGCUCGAGAGCCUGACCGAGGGUACUUGAAGAAAAAGCAUCGGCUAACGCCGUGCCAGCAGCCGCGGUAAUACGGAGGAUGCGCGCGUUAUCCGGAUUUAUGGGGUUUAAAGGGUGCGUAGGCGGGCUGUUAAGGCAGCGGUAAAAGCCCGGGGCUCAACCCCGGCGAGCCGUUGAAAAUGGCUGUCUUGAGAUGUCGAGAGGUAUGCGGAAUGCGCAGUGUAGCGGGGAAAUGCUUAGAUAUUGCGCAGAACUCCGAUUGCGAAGGCAGCAUACCGGCGGCGAUCUGACGCUGAGGCACGAAAGCGUGGGUAUCGAACAGGAUUAGAUACCCCAGUAGUC